rnacentral:rRNA from 1 species
GACGGAGGAUGCAAGCGUUAUCCGGAAUGAUUGGGCGUAAAGCGUCCGCAGGUGGCAGUUCAAGUCUGCUGUCAAAGACCGGGGCUUAACUUCGGAAAGGCAGUGGAAACUGAACAGCUAGAGUAUGGUAGGGGCAGAGGGAAUUCCUGGUGUAGCGGUGAAAUGCGUAGAGAUCAGGAAGAACAUCGGUGGCGAAGGCGCUCUGCUGGACCUUAUCUGACAUUGAGGGACGAAAGCUAGGGGAGCGAAAGGG